ACCUGGGUGGCUCAGUCGGUUGAGCAUCCGACUUCGGCUCAGGUCAUGAUCUCACGGUUUGUGGGUUCGAGCCCCAUGUCAGGCU
rnacentral:tRNA from 1 species